AUUGAACGCUGGCGGCAGGCCUAACACAUGCAAGUCGAGCGAGCGGCGGACGGGUGAGUAAUGUCUGGGAAACUGCCUGAUGGAGGGGGAUAACUACUGGAAACGGUAGCUAAUACAGCAUACCAUCAGAUGUGCCCAGAUGGGAUUAGCUAGUAGGUGGGGUAACGGCUCACCUAGGCGACGAUCCCUAGCUGGUCGGAGAGGAUGACCAGCAACAAUGGAACUGAGACACGGUCCAGACUCCUAAGGGGGGCAUCAGUGGGGAAUAUUGCACAAUUGGCGCAAGCCUGAUGCAGCCAUGCCGCGUGUGUGAAGAAGGCCGUCGGUUUGUAAAGCACUUUCAGCGGGGAGGCGUUACCCGCAGAAGAAGCACCGGCUAACUCCGUGCCAGCAGCCGCGGUAAUUC
rnacentral:rRNA from 1 species